rnacentral:lncRNA from 1 species
UUUUGUGCAUGGUGAUAGAAAUUUAUCUUCAAUUUCUUAAACAUAGCUAAUCAGUCAAUUAAUCAUCAUUAACUGACAAAGUCACUAUAUCCUCUCUGAUCUGCAAUGCCAACUGCAUCAUACUACAUGUAUGGGUGUGUUUCUGGCUUCCAGAUUCCAUUCUAUUGGUGUAUUUCCUAUCUCUAUGUCAAUGCCACUUUGUCUUAAUUACUCUAUUUUUAUAAUAUCUUAUAGUAUAUUGUCUAUUACAACAAAUAACCCCCAAAUUUCAGUGGCUUAACUCAAAAUUUCCCCCACUCCCAAAGAUAUUGGUUGGUUGGGAGGCUGGGGAGAGCCCUGCUCUGCACAGUCAUUCAGGGACCCAGGCUUUUCCAUUUAGUGGCUUCCCCAAAGUCUUCAGGGGCCUUCACUGGAUCAUCACAUCAGCAUCUGGCUGGCAUAUAGGGGAGGAGGGAAACCAUUUACACCCACUUUACACUGGCCAGGUCCAAGCACUUGGCCUCAUCUAAGUUUUAAGCAAGGCUGGAAGUGCAGUCUAGUUGUAUGCCCAGAGGAAGAAGGAAAUGGGUUUGGUAAAUACACUGUCUGCCAUAAUCUCACACAAGGACAAAAAAUUAAACAUGUAACUAAAUUGAUCUUACAAAAUUUUCUCCCAAUCUUACUAUUGUUUCUCUAUUUCCUAGCUCUUUGAUUAAUUGGACAUGUAUUUGUGGAGAGCCCACUAGACUUUUGUGGUAGGCAGCCCCUAAGAUAGCCCCCAAUGAUACCCUUUUCCCCCAUUCAUUCCCUGUAAAAUCCCUUCCCCUGGAAUGUGAGCUGAACUUAUUGAAAUGUUUUUAAUGAAUGGAAUCGGGUUGAAGGGAUGGGUGUCACUUCCAAGAUUAGGUUAUAAAAAGACUGUAGUUUCCAUCUUGGUUGCUCUAUGAUUCCCUGUCUUUCUCUUUCUGAUUACUAGCUACCAUGUCAUGAGGAUAUCCGGGCAGCCAUUGGAGGAGGUCCAUGGCCAAGGAACUGAGGUGCUGCUGGUGGCUGCAUCCUGCAGGAGUUGUGCUCUAGAGAAGAUAAGAGCCCUGCAGAAGCCUGGUGCUGGGCACACUGCCCACACAUCAGGAGUUCACUUCUGGGGAAGCCAUGCACAUCGUGAGCAUACCAGAACAGAAGGAAAAACUCCUUGCUCUUCCAGGUGCCCUCUACUGACAUAGCUUAAUAUCAAGCUAUAUGGCAAAGAAAACAUGUUUAAUGGGCUCAGAUCCAUUUUCACAGAGCUGGCAAAAAGGGUGAAUUUGGAGCUGAGAGGCAAAAACAUCAUAAACAGACAUACAGUGGUUUGUUAGGCAACAAAAGCUAACUGAUGGAGAUGUAUAUUAGACCUUUGAGUUUAUCUUCUAAGUCUUUUAACCUGUUUACAUUUUCCCCAUCUCUUUAUCUUUCUAUGUUGUACUCUGGGAUAUUUCUUAAAGAUCCAAGUCUUUCCUCAGUAAGUCCAAUCUGUUGUUAACCUAGCAAUUGAAUUUUAAAUUUCAAAAAAUAUAUAUUUUUAUUUCUAUAGGAGCUAUAUGGAUCUUGUUAUAUAGUCCUAUUUUUAAAUGAUGAUAUCUUUUAAAAAUAUAAUUUUAAAGACUUAUUUUACCAGCCAUUUCCAGUUCUAUUGUAAUCUCAAGUUCUUGCUAAUCUUUCUGUUUAUUGUGUCUGUGGUGAAUUGUUUCUUCCUGCAGUUUAUAGUUUUUGUUUAUGAGCUCAUUUCUUUAGGAUUUUUUUUUUCCUGAGAAAAUCACUUGUAUUUUCAACUAAGAAAAUAUCUUUGGGAAGUAUCUUAUAUUUUAUUCUGCCAGGUAACCAGAGAUUUCACCAGUGUGAGACUAAUUUUCAUAUUAAAAUUUUAGCUUGUAAAUUUUCACACAAUGAAGGCACUGUAAAUUUUGACUCCACACCUCUGCAUAAUGCAGGUUUGGAACUUCAGUAUUUCACUGGGAAUCUUUUUCCUUCCAGGACCCUGGCUAGGGUACACUUUAUUGUUGUUUUCUUGGGAGAAUAUAGUUUUUUUUGGUCCCUCUUUCAUUGAAAGGAUAGCUUCUCCAGAGUCUUAGUUUAUUUGGGGGUCUUAGUUCCAGCUCUUUGCCUCAUGUGGGCCCAGGAUGACACCUCCUGCCUUUACUUGAGUAUUAAAAUCCCUCCCCUAGCCUUUGGGGCCUAAAUGCAAAUCCAAUUCCUGACCUCAUCCCAAUAUCUGAGACCUCAAGUUAUAAAUUUACUACUCAUUCUGACAUUAAGUUCCUUCUUUGUUUCUGGUAUCUAAGCUUUUGAGCUCAGCUAUGCAUUUUAAAUAAUUUUGCUAUAUUUUACAUAGUGUUUCUAUGUGUUUGUGGGGAGAUGUGAUAAAGAGAGAGUAGGGUCUGCAUUAGCUAAGUAUGCCAUGUUUCUGGGACCUGAGUUUUAGAUCUUUCAUCAUUUUAGGAUUUACAAUUGAAUAUUUUAAGUGACAGAGAAACAUGAUCAAAUUUAUUUUAUAAUAUUCUGGUAGAUCUAAUAAUGUAGAAGAAAGUGACUCAUGACUUGGGGAUCAGUUAGAAUGCAAUUGCAACAGCCACAUUUUUCAAAUGUUGAGGAAGUGAAGGGUCUCCCUUCUCCCUGCCCCACUCAAAUAGAGUCCUUGUCCUAUAACUGUGCAGGAAGAGUGUGAACUGUCAUGGUCAAGGGAGGCUUAAGGAGGAGACGACAGCUGCUCCUAUCUUUGAAGGAUGGAGGGAAAUUACUUACAUUGUGUGAAGAGGAAAGAGCCUUCCUUUAGGUUGGAAAGGCACAGGGUGAAGCCAAGAAAGGGUAGUGGUAGGAAUGCAGGUAGCUCAUUAAAGGACUGGGGAGGAAGGCAGCUGGGCCAGAGUGGAGGGGCCGAGCAGCGGCCAGUGGAAGGCAGUUGGAAUAAUCAGCUGGAACCAUCUUGGGAAGGGUAUUUAAUCUUCCUACAGGUAUUCUCACUGUUGGUGAUUAGUAAUCACAUUUUUGCAAGCACUGUACUGGGCUUUUCCAGGGCUGAAGCCAAAUAUAUAUAUAUAGUUUAGAUUGACAUAGAAAGGAAGUUGGGUCCAAAAAUGCAGUUGUCCCAGUUUUCAGAUCAUCCAAAUGUUGUGUUGCCAUGACAACUGCAUUUAAAUUUCAGAAACACAAAGUAAAUGUUUGGCAGGUGAUUUAAAUCAUCUGCUUCUGACUACAUCAAAACAAACAAACAGUUGGUUUGCAUGCUACCAGCUGCCAUUUUUUACUUGAUUUUAAGAUUAUUUGGUAGACGGUAGGAUACAGAUGGACGUUUGAUUUGCUUUAUAUUUUUUAAAUGAGAUUCAUUUUAGAGUUGUAGACCAUGUGGGUAUUUAGAGGGAAACGUUAGGAUGCUUCCUUUAUUUUUUCCACUAAAUGUUGCAAAGCCAAAAUUAUAUCCAUGGAAUAAUGUUUCACAAAUGUGCUUCUCCCCACAAUGAUCAAAUAUUUUGGAGGGUUUGAGUAACUGUCACAUCUGUUGAAGAUAGGCAACUCAGUAACCUAUGGCACAUGCAGAAAUGGAGGAAAAGAAAUAAGGAGAUGAUGGCUUUACCAACUGGAGCAGAAUAAGAAGCCAAGGAAAAGAAAUGCCUUCUAUUUUUUCUUUUUAAAAUGAUGAGAAUUUAUAGAGUAGCUCAAUUUUAGGCUAACACUGUUUCAGCUGUUUAUCCUUUCUUGUUAAGAGUCUGAUGAAAGAUAUAACCGUACUUUUAUUAAUUUUUGUGUAUGGAAUUCCAAUAAAACAUUCAAAUAAUAACUUUCAACUCACAGACUACAGUGGGCUGAGUGCCUAUUACUACGACAGGCACUUACUUCAUACCCAGCCUGUGGCCGGGAAAAAUUGAUGCAUGUGUGAAGCUACAAUAGAUAGCCCUGAUCUUACACAUCUGGGUACACUCAGCACCUGACCUAGUGCCUGACAGAGGAUAGGCACUCAACAAAGCUUUGCUGAAUGGUUGAAUAUACAUGUAAAAGAAUACAGAAGAAGGUAUGAUAGACUAACACAAACUUAUAUUUAGAUAAUAGAGUAUACAAUGGGGGCUGUAGACAGGCAAAUUGAGUGAAAAUAUUAUCCAGAAAAACAUUUUGAGCAAAAUGGAGUGAAUCUAAGUUUUAUUUCACCUCCUCAGGUGGGAAAGGUCGAUUUAUUUAAACUUCUAUAGUUUCCAACUUUUUAUUUGUGUCCUGUGUUCUGUCCUCAUUUGUGGUGGACCAUGAUGGACCUGGCAGCUCCAUUGAUCACAGCACAUUCAUCAGUUGGGUCCAGAGUCCCCUACAUCUGGAAGUUGGAGCAGACCCUCUCCACACUCUGGGAGCCCACAUGGAGGCAGGUAAUUGGCAAGGCUAAGGGCAGCAGUGUGUGGGUGGUUUCUUAGAAAGUCAAGCCAGGAGGCAUGUGAAGGAUGGUCAGCGAUGGUAGAGAAGGCAGCUGGGAAGAAAGAGCAACCAGGAGGUUCAGGUAAGAGUCCAGGUGAGAGACGAUGAGAACCUGGGUCAGGAUGGCGGCCCCAGGGAUAGAGGGGAGAGACACGGGAGAUGGAGCGAUUGGUGACUGCUGGGACACCAAUGAGUCAGAGGGAGGGUCAGGAUGAAGGCCAGCUCCUAGCUUGGUUGAUGAGUGGCUUGUGAUGCAGUCCCCCAACCUAGCCAAGGCCAGAAGUGGAAAGCACUGGGUGGGGAUGGGGAGCUACCACUUCAUCCAGUCAUAAAACCAUGCUUACAUGACUCGUGCCUCCAAAUCUCACCAAGGCCUUCCUGCUGAACUUACAAGUCCUUCGUAAAGAAAAAUUAUUUUUUUUGGUUAUCUGUAAAUGUAAUUGUGCCAAAUGUUUAUCUUUUUAAAAAGCUGUGUAGCACCUGGCUCCCUCCCUGCUUCUGGGGCACCCCCCUCAUGGGUGGUAUUGGUGGAGCCCCGAGCACUGCUCCUCCCUACCGCAGUAAAGGCGGGCUCCUCCCUCCCUCCACGCUCCAGCUCACAUCCUGGAUUCAACCAACUGGAUGCUGGGGUGAUUAUGUUAUGUGUCAACUUGGCUAGGCCAUGGUACUCAGAUGUUUGGUUAAGUGCUAGUCUAGAAAUUACUGUGAAGGUAUUUUUUUAAAUGAGAUUAACAUUUAAAUCAGUAAACUUUAAGUAGAGCAGAUAAAGUGUGGGUGGGCCUCAUCCUAUCAGUUGAAAACCUUAAGGGAAAGACUGAUGUUCCCCUAAGCAGAGGGAAUUCUGCCAACAGACGACUUUCAGACUCCAACAACAUCUCUUCCCUGGGUCUCCAUCCUGUUGGCCUACUUCCUCUCUCUCUUUCUACUACUGAUUGCCUGUGUUUAUAGGGAAAACCCUAAUACAGAUACACUCACCAAGUCCUUGAAACCAGCUAGAGGAAUGCAUAGGAGGAGAGAGGAUGCAUUCCCAGUAGUUUCAGCAGAGUAAAGGGCCAGCACUGAAUACUUUUGUGAGAACAUUUUGGGUGGGAGUACUAAGAAUCAAUUUGCCCCAUUCAUAAGUAAAACCAGGACAUAAAAACCAUAAACAAGCUGCUUUCAUUACUAUCAUCACAGGCAAGUCCCUUAGGCCUCUCCUUGAU